GACGUAGGGCGCGAGCGUUGUCCGGAUUUAUUGGGCGUAAAGAGCUCGUAGGCGGCUUGUUGCGUCGGCUGUGAAAACCCGCGGCUUAACCGUGGGCUUGCAGCCGAUACGGGCGGACUGGAGUUCGGCAGGGGAGACUGGAAUUCCUGGUGUAGCGGCGAAAUGCGCAGAUAUCAGGAGGAACACCGGUGGCGAAGGCGGGUCACUGGGUCUUUUCUGACGCUGAGGCACGAAAGCUAGGGUAGCGAACGGG
rnacentral:rRNA from 1 species